rnacentral:tRNA from 1 species
GCGCAUUUAGUGUAGUGGUAUCAUAGUACCAUCCCAUGGUACUUACCGGGGUUCAAUUCCCCGAAUGCGCA